AACACACGUUUGGUUAGAGCAGGGUCUUUUUUUGGGGGGGGUCAAACUAGGUUUGAUUAACAGAAACAAACAAUCCAAAAGACACACUUUCCUCCCUUCCUUAAUUUGUCCACCCUCCCUCCCUGCUGUCAAGAUUCUGCAGGCACUAAAAUUUCAGCAGAGAAGUACAAUUUGCUGGAAAGAACAUAAAGAUUGUGUUUUAAAACUGUUUAAAUGGGUGACUGUUUUUAAACCAAGUAACAGAGUAUUCAAGAGGUUAGUGGAAAGAUUUCAGUUUGCAUAGGUCCUUGGUCAGGAUUCUGUCAACUCUUCCUGGCAGAAGAGAUUUCAAAGGAUUUGUUGAGCUAACCCUGAGCUAGCAGCAUGACAUACAGAGAUCUCCCUUCCCAAUUUUUGAGGCAUAUAGAACAUUCCUAGCUAUUUCCAUCCAGUCUUGUUUUCCUGUCUUCAGCCUGUAACUGGACAGGGAAUUAGAAUGCUGGUCCUGACAGCUGUCUGUAUAUGAUUAUAAAUUCUCUCCAUGUUCCCAGAGCUGAACUGAACUAAAAAAAAAAAAAAAAAAAAAAAGAAAAAAAAAAAGAGAGAGAGAGAGAGAGAGAGAGAGAGAGAGAGAGAAUUGUUUUGCUAUUAGAAUCAGCAGGACUAGUAUUUGGCCCACAGAACACCAAGGCCAGCAGAACAGACACUUGCUAGCACUCUGAAAUAUGCUAUUGUCUAUCAUUGUCUAAUUCUUCCUAACUCUGUAAAAGAAGGUCUCAUAAACCCCACAAAGUAGUCAUUUCACUUUCAAGUAUAAAAUAGAUGUUUGUACAUUUAUGUUACCAUCUGCAAGUGAGAGACUAAAUCCCAGUCCAGGUAUAUGAAUGAGAAGAAAAAUUUGUUUCAGAAGUCAAACUAACAUUUUUCAGCUCUUCAAAGUUUUAUGCACAAAUAUUUUAGUUGACAUGUAUCUUGUGACCUAGAAUCUCAUUUCUUAGUAACUUACACCCAUAUAUAAAUAAGUGCAUUUUUUUCACUCCUUAAAAUAAAAAAAACACUUUUAAGAUCUCA
rnacentral:lncRNA from 1 species